rnacentral:lncRNA from 1 species
CUGCUGAGGUGAAAGGUCUAUUAUGACUCAUGGUUCUCACCUUCCUGUCUUUUGGAUAAUGUACUACUGGAAUUUCAGAGAAGCAACCAAAGUUCAUUACUUUCAUUCGGAGAUUUUAACAAAAUUAUAAUUAAGCUUUGAUCUACUGUAUCUUCGAGGGUUCAAUGUGUAUUACUUACAUGUAUUAAUUUAUGAACCAGCCUUAUCAGUGCAAGAUGAUCUUUUCUAUUGAUUAAGAUGACUCUUGGUAAUUAAUGGCAAGCCAUUGGUACAAGCUUUUUCUUUUCUUUUUUUAUUUCCUCAAAAGAAUAAUACAAGCUUUCCUAUGUUAAGUACUUA